rnacentral:rRNA from 1 species
AACCAGCACCUCAAGUGGUCAGGAUGAUUAUUGGGCCUAAAGCAUCCGUAGCCGGCUCUGUAAGUUUUCGGUUAAAUCUGUACGCUCAACGUACAGGCUGCCGGGAAUACUGCAAAGCUAGGGAGUGGGAGAGGUAGACGGUACUCGGUAGGAAGUGGUAAAAUGCUUUGAUCUAUCGAUGACCACCUGUGGCGAAGGCGGUCUACCAGAACACGUCCGACGGUGAGGGAUGAAAGCUGGGGGAGCAAACCGG